GGUGGAGCGAUCUGUCUGGUUAAUUCCGAUAACGAACGAGACUCUCCCCUGCUAACUAGUCUGUUGGAUCUUGAUAUGCGAGUUGCGCCCUGUCUUGUUUAGUGGUCGCUGGAGCUCUGAUGUGUGGGGACUUGUGCAUGCCUUCUCUUCGGAGUCGUGUGUGUGUAGGGCUUGCGCUGAGGACUCUGCUUCUAACGGCUUGUGCAGUAAGUGUACUCCAAGUCCGCAGCUUGUCUUAAAUUCUUCUUAGAGGGAUCAACGGCUCUGAAGCCGUCAGAGACUGAGAGCAAUAACAGGUCUGUGAUGCCCUUAGAUGCUCUGGGCCGCACGCGCGCUACAAUGCCGGGCACAACAGGUAGCUUCCUGCUCCGAUAGGAGCGGGCAACCCUUUGAAAGCCCACAAUACUCUCUCGAAUGGCCUCACGGUCGUUUGAGAGCGGCGUGCUUGGGCCUGGGGCUUGCAAUUAUUCCCCACAAACGAGGAAUGCCUAGUAGCGGUAGGUCACUGAGCCUGCCGUGACUGAGUCCCUGCCCUUUGUACACACCGCCCGUCGCUACUACCGAUUGGGUGUUCCAGUGAGAGCCUUGGACUGGCGGCCGUUGCCUUCGUGGCAAACGGUAUCGACUGAAAGAGGUCCGAACUGGUGCACUUAGAGGAAGUAAAAGUCGUAACAAGGUUUUCGUAGGUGAACCUGCGGAAGGAUCAUUA
rnacentral:rRNA from 1 species